AUGCUGACAUAAGUAACGAUAAAGCGGGUGAAAAGCCCGCUCGCCGGAAGACCAAGGGUUCCUGUCCAACGUUAAUCGGGGCAGGGUGAGUCGACCCCUAAGGCGAGGCCGAAAGGCGUAGUCGAUGGGAAACAGGUUAAUAUUCCUGUACUUGGUGUUACUGCGAAGGGGGGACGGAGAAGGCUAUGUUGGCCGGGCGACGGUUGUCCCGGUUUAAGCGUGUAGGCUGGUUUUCCAGGCAAAUCCGGAAAAUCAAGGCUGAGGCGUGAUGACGAGGCACUACGGUGCUGAAGCAACAAAUGCCCUGCUUCCAGGAAAAGCCUCUAAGCAUCAGGUAACAUCAAAUCGUACCCCAAACCGACACAGGUGGUCAGGUAGAGAAUACCAAGGCGCUUGAGAGAACUCGGGUGAAGGAACUAGGCAAAAUGGUGCCGUAACUUCGGGAGAAGGCACGCUGAUAUGUAGGUGAAGUCCCUCGCGGAUGGAGCUGAAAUCAGUCGAAGAUACCAGCUGGCUGCAACUGUUUAUUAAAAACACAGCACUGUGCAAACACGAAAGUGGACGUAUACGGUGUGACGCCUGCCCGGUGCCGGAAGGUUAAUUGAUGGGGUCAGCGCAAGCGAAGCUCUUGA
rnacentral:rRNA from 1 species